rnacentral:ncRNA from 1 species
CAUGCAAGUAUCCGCCAACCUGUGAAAAUGCCCUUUUACUCGCUCACCUCGAACGAUCCCGAAGGAGCUGGUAUCAAGCACACCCUACGUAGCUCAAAACACCUUGCUCAGCCACACCCCCACGGGAUACAGCAGUAAUAAAAAUUAAGCAAUGAACGAAAGUUUGACUAAGCUAUACUAAAAGAGAGUUGGUCAAUCUCGUGCCAGCCACCGCGGUCAUACGAUUGACUCAAAUUAAUAAGACCCGGCGUAAAGUGUGGUUAUAAACAAGGUAUUACAAUAAAGUUAAAUCACACCUUAGCUGUAAAAAGCCAAAGGUUUGUAAUAAAUAAACUACUAAAGUAACUUUACUAUACACAUGAACCCACGAUAGCUAAGACACAAACUGGGAUUAGAUACCCCACUAUGCUUAGCCUUAAACCACGAUGUUUAGCAACAAAAACAUCCGCCAGAGAACUACAAGCCACAGCUUAAAACUCAAAGGACUUGGCGGUGCUUUAUACCCCCUAGAGGAGCCUGUUACAUAAUCGAUAAACCCCGAUAAACCACACCAUCACUCGCUAAAUCAGUCUAUAUACCGCCAUCUUCAGCAAACCCUUAUAAGGACCAAUAGUAAGCAUAAACGUAAGCACAAAAACGUUAGGUCAAGGUGUAACCUAUGUGAUGGGACAUAAUGGGCUACAUUUUCUUCAUAAGAACAAUAACGGACUUCUACCUGAAAAACUAGAACAAAGGAGGAUUUAGCAGUAAAUCAGGAAUAGAGAGCCUGAUUGAACCAGGCCAUGAAGCACGCACACACCGCCCGUCACCCUCCUCAAGAGGAGACAAGUCGUAACAAGGUAAGCAUACUGGAAAGUGUGCUUGGAAUACAAAGUGUAGCUUAAUAAAGCCCUGGCCUACCCCAGAGAUCAGCCCUUUGAACAGCCUAGCCCCAAAYRAAWCAUYYAGUAUAGGMGAUAGAAAAGAGCAUAGAAGUACCGUAAGGGAAAGAUGAAAGAYUAAGUGAACAGCAGAGAUUAUUCCUCCUACCUUUUGCAUAAUGGACUAACUAGAAACCCAUUGACAAAGUGACCUGAAGCCAAUAACCCCGAAACCAGACGAGCUACUCGUGAACAAUUUACCAGAAUGAACUCAUCUAUGUGGCAAAAUAGUGAGAUGAUUUGCGAGUAGAGGUGAAAUGCCAAUCGAGCCUGGAGAUAGCUGGUUGUCCAAAAAAAGAAUUUCAGUUCAACCUAAAGCAUGCCUAUAAAACCAAUAAUUAUGAUGUAAGCUUUAGAGCUAUUCAAUAGGGGGACAGCUCUAUUGAAUAAGGAUACAACCUUGCAAGGUGAGUAAGAAAUUAUUACAACCAUAGUUGGCCUAAAAGCAGCCACCAAUUAAGAAAGCGUUAAAGCUCAAAAUCCCUCCCUUAUUGGAYUACUCUAUUUAAUAGAGAAAUAMUGYUARYAURAGUAACAAGAAUUCUCCGGCRYRGYUUAUAUCAGAACGAAUACUCACUGAUAGUUAACGACCUAGUAACUACAAUCMCCMCAUAAAUAUGCUAUUACCAUUUUUAACCCAACACAGGAAUGCGACCCGGAAAGAUUAAAAGAAGAAGAAGGAACUCGGCAAGCACGAACCCCGCCUGUUUACCAAAAACAUCACCUCUAGCAUUACAGUAUUAGAGGCACUGCCUGCCCAGUGACACUAGUUAAACGGCCGCGGUACUCUGACCGUGCAAAGGUAGCAUAAUCAUUUGUUCUCUAAUUAAGGACUUGUAUGAACGGCUAGACGAGGGCUCAACUGUCUCCUACCUCCAAUCAGUGAAAUUGACCUCCCCGUGAAGAGGCGGGGAUAUAAUUAUAAGACGAGAAGACCCUAUGGAGCUUUAAU